rnacentral:rRNA from 1 species
AUAACAGUGAGAAAUCACUGCUAAUACCGCAUAAGCUGACAAUACCGCAUGGUAUAGUCAGAAAAGGAGAAAUCCGCUAAUAGAUGGGCUUGCGUCCGAUUAGCUAGUUGGUGGGGUAAAGGCCUACCAAGGCAACGAUCGGUAGCCGAGCUGAGAGGCUCAACGGCCACAUUGGGACUGAGAUACGGCCCAGACUCCUACGGGAGGCAGCAGUCGGGAAUAUUGCACAAUGGAGGAAACUCUGAUGCAGUGACACCGCGUAUAGGAAGAAGGUUUUCGGAUUGUAAACUAUUUUAGACAGGGAAGAAAAAAGACAGUACCUGUAGAAUAAGCUCCGGCUAACUACGUGCCAGCAGCCGCGGUAAUACGUAGGGAGCAAGCGUUAUCCGGAAUUAUUGGGUGUAAAGGGUGCGUAGACGGGACAGCAAGUUAGUUGUGAAAGCCCUCGGCUUAACUGAGGAACUGCAACUAAAACUAUUGUCCUUGAGUGCAGGAGAGGAAAGCGGAAUUCCUAGUGUAGCGGUGAAAUGCGUAGAUAUUAGGAGGAACACCAGUGGCGAAGGCGGCUUUCUGGACUGUAACUGACGUUGAGGCACGAAAGUGUGGGGAGCAAACAGGAUUAGAUACCCUGGUAGUCCACACUGUAAACGAUGGAUACUAGGUGUAGG